CAUAGCCGCGGUAACACGUAGGGUGCGAGCGUUAAUCGGAAUUACUGGGCGUAAAGCGCACGUAGGCGGCUUGGUAAGUUAGAGGUGAAAGCCCGGAGCUCAACUCCGGAAUUGCCUUUAAGACUGCCGAGCUAGUAGGUGAGAGAGGUAAGUGGAAUUCCGAGUGUAGAGGUGAAAUUCGUAGAUAUUCGGAAGAACACCAGUGGCGAAGGCGGCUUACUGGCUCAUUCUAGACGCUGAGGUGCGAAAGCGUGGGGAGCAAACAGGAUUAGAUACCCCCGUAGUCCCUGUCUCUUAUACA
rnacentral:rRNA from 1 species